rnacentral:sRNA from 1 species
GUCUGCAUGUGGAUGUGGCUGUGUCUGCUCUUCCCAGCAAUUUUCGCUUAUCUCUGUCAUUGUGUAGCUUUGACAUAAACCAGACGACACGGCGACAAGCGGCUCACCGCCCAACGAAUCACUCCCGCCGUCCAUCCAUUGCAGCUUUGUCUGAAAUAGGAAGUUGGCCGUAGAUGGGAAAGAGCAAUUUAGGAAGCGUUGUAAAGCUUCAAAGGUACGUGCGACAAUAUGUGGCACACACACACAGCCACACGGAGACGGAGACACAUUUGUUCAGCUAUGCGGUAUAUCGUCGUGCUUAGCAUAACAAGGAUAAUGUGAUUAGCCAUCAAAGGAUUAGAUAAACAAAAGGUGUUAAUUAAAUAUUUUCUUCUUUUCACACGCUCACACGAGACAACGUUGUGCCAUGGAACAACAUGCUCACCACCCCCUCCCUCUCCUAAAAUCCCCAUUAAAUUUUAUAAUUGUUCAAAAAUGAACAAUUAGGCCAACAGCAGAGAGCGGAAGACAUACUGAGUACAAUGAAGACUUGUGUCUUGGUUUGAGGCAAUUUUAUAAUGACACACAUCUUUCCGCAUGGCAUAACGUUUAAAAAGCUCGAUGAAGUAGAGAAAAUAUUAAAAUUUUUAAUACAAAAUAUUAACGGCUACAUAUUAAGCAAAAAAAAAUCAA